rnacentral:rRNA from 1 species
UAGCGGAGGGGACUAGCGUUGUUCGGAAUUACUGGGCGUAAAGCGCACGUAGGCGGAUUUGUAAGUCAGGGGUGAAAUCCCGGGGCUCAACCUCGGAACUGCCUUUGAUACUGACUGUCUUGAGUGUGGGAGAGGUGUGUGGAACUCCGAGUGUAGAGGUGAAAUUCGUAGAUAUUCGGAAGAACACCAGUGGCGAAGGCGAACACACUGGCCCAUUACUGACGCUGAGGCUCGAAAGCGUGGGGAGCAAAC